rnacentral:rRNA from 1 species
CAGCCGCCACGGUAAUACGGAGGGUGCAAGCGUUAAUCGGAAUUACUGGGCGUAAAGCGUGCGUAGGCGGUUUGUUAAGUCUGCUGUGAAAUCCCCGGGCUCAACCUGGGAAUGGCAGUGGAUACUGGCAAGCUAGAGUGUGUCAGAGGAUGGUGGAAUUCCCGGUGUAGCGGUGAAAUGCGUAGAGAUCGGGAGGAACAUCAGUGGCGAAGGCGGCCAUCUGGGACAACACUGACGCUGAGGCACGAAAGCGUGGGGAGCAAACAGGAUUAGAUACCCCCGUAGUCCCUGUCUCUUAUAC